UUGAACGCUGGCGGCAUGCCUUACACAUGCAAGUCGAACGGCAGCACGGGGGCAACCCUGGUGGCGAGUGGCGAACGGGUGAGUAAUACAUCGGAACGUGUCCUGUAGUGGGGGAUAGCCCGGCGAACGCCGGAUUAAUACCGCAUACGCUCUACGGAGGAAAGGGGGGGGUCUUAGGACCUCCCGCUACAGUGGCGGCCGAUGGCAGAUUAGCUAGUUGGUGGGGUAAAGGCCUACCAAGGCGACGAUCUGUAGCUGGUCUGAGAGGACGACCAGCCACACUGGGACUGAGACACGGCCCAGACUCCUACGGGAGGCAGCAGUGGGGAAUGUUGGACAAUGGGGGCAACCCUGAUCCAGCAAUGCCGCGUGUGUGAAGAAGGCCUUCGGGUUGUAAAGCACUUUUGUCCGGAAAGAAAACGCCGUGGUGAAUACCCGUGGCGGAUGACGGUACCGGAAGAAUAAGCAACGGCUAACUACGUG
rnacentral:rRNA from 1 species